rnacentral:rRNA from 1 species
UACAGAGGCCUCGAGCGUUGUUCGGAAUUACUGGGCGUAAAGGGAAUGUAGGUGGUGACGUAAGUCAGAUGUGAAAGCCCUGGGCUUAACCUGGGAAGUGCAUUUGAUACUGCGUUGCUUGAGUACGAGAGAGGAAAGCGGAAUUCCCAGUGUAGGAGUGAAAUCCGUAGAUAUUGGGAGGAAUACCGAUGGCGAAGGCAGCUUUCUGGCUCGUAACUGACACUGAGAUUCGAAAGCGUGGGUAGCAAACAGG